UAGAGCUCUUUCCAUUAUGAUCAGCUAAUCUCUAAUCUAAAAUCUAAGUUGCCCACACGGUCACACCAACAACUAACUCUUAUCAAUUACACGUCCGUUGAUUUCGUCCACCGCAAUGUAACAGCCACGAUGUCUCUUCAUUAUCACCAUUACUUCCUUGAUCGGACGGUUCUGAUUUCAUGUCAACUCCAGGUUGCUGUAGGCGUAAAUCCUGAUAAUGCUCCGCCAUUGCUACCUCACCUUCUCUAAUACGCUUCAUGCCUAUCGAGAACCCGAAUAAUCUCGCUUCCGCCUCCGGUUCAACCCGGUUCUCCUCAUCGCAUACGGUUCGACCCGAUUGAUCAACGGCCCGCUCCGUCCGUAAGAGAUCAAGUGGCUUUAACGCCGGCGAAAUACUCUCCGCCGAUUGAUUAUUACCGAUGAUGAAUUCGACGUCACUACUUGCUCUUCACAUGAAUCCGUGGUAGAUACAGCCAGCGGUGGUUGAGCAGGCGGAGGUGGAGGCGAGGCAACUACAGUCACCACCGCUGUUGUAGCUGCGCAAGGAGUAGCAACAAUCGGCGUCGCGACCUUCCGACGCUGGAUAUCAAUUAAGAGAUUUUUUUCACCUCUCCGGAAGGAGUCGUUUCCGAAUUCCCAUCGAUCAGGUACGACUUUCCGAAAUCCCUGCAAAAAUGGAAGAAAAAGUUAGUAAUUCUUACCAUUCACCAAAAACAACUGAUUUUCAAUUAUAGAGGAACUUACAUAGGUGUUGAGCUGCCUAACGAAGCUAGAGAAAUUGUUAUGCUUAAAAUACUUAGGAAGCAAAUCUCUAGCAAACUCGGUAGGAUUCCAGACGAUGAAAGUAGAUCCGUCUUCGUUCCAAGAGAUGACGUCAUCAAUGGAUUGAUCCUCGAUGAGCUGGUAAGUCUUUGUUAAAAACGGUGUCGGUACAGACCUCGGCAUUUCACCAGCCGCCGGCGCCUCUCCUCUAUUCCGGUCUGGCUGUGGAGUCAUAUUUUCUUACCUGAAACACUAAUUAAUUAACCCUGUAUUGAAUUCAACUCAGAAACCAUUUAAUUUCCCUGCAAAUUAAGCAACCAAAAAAAAUAAUACUUUACACCAAAACUAAAACUACGUACUUGAGUGAAGAUGGAUGAUGCUACUCUGGCAGAUCUGGGGCCAAAACUGGAGGGAGGAAGAAAGAGGUCCGUCGGAAUUAUUGGUAAUUCUAGAAUUUUCCGGCGACACAUAGAGGGGGGGAAGGUGGGUUGGGCAAUGGGAGAGGGGGGGCUAUAAUUGGAAAAUUCAGAAAGGAAGAAAUGGAGAUAAAGGUGAAGUAUUUUAUUAAAAAAGAAACAAAGAGAAGCUACGUAACGGACAGCUUUACCAAAGUAGAAUUAAAAAUGGAAAAAAAACUGGUAGCCAUACUUAUUGCCAUUCGAGAAGUUUCAGUUGAUUCUUAUACGUGGCACCUGAUGAGAGGCUAUAGGAUAUAUCCUACGUACGCACAGAUGAAUAUGGAGUUGUUGAUGUAUUUGAGUUAAAUCUAAAUUUUUCGUAAUACAAACAGUAAUACAAUAUGGAGUCGUUGUUCUUUUGUUUAUUACAAAAAAAACAUUAUUUUAAUUUAUUUUGAUUAUUACAGAAGUUAUUAUGAGUGAAUCAAUAUAUAAAGGAAAAUUUUAAUUCAUUCUAUAUGACAUGUCUGAAAAAAGAAAUUUUUAAUUCAUUCUAUGUGGCAUGUCUAGAAAGUCUUCAUUAUCAUUUAUUUUUUUGUGAUUUUUUAAUUAUUUUUUUAUUUUAAAAAAUUAAAAAUUCACUUAAUAUUAUACAUAACAUUAAAGAAAGUCAUAUUAAAUAACUUUCAUCAUCAAUAUUAUUAAAUUUUUCUUAUUUAUGUGUUAUGAAAAAAAAUUAAAAAUCACUCCUUAAAACUCUCUUAAUCAUGUUAAAUAUGUAAGAAAAAAUAAAAAAUUAUUUGUUAAAGCUCAAAAAUUAAUAAUGUAUGCAUAUAUAUAUAUAUAUACACACACACUCUCUAAUAAGAGGAAAUGGGCAGAGAAGCAUGCAGGUCUUCGUCAACAUGCCUGUUUCUCCCUGCCUACUUCAUCAGUUGCUCACUCCUUGAUUUUACUAUAUAUAUAUAUACACACACUCUCUAAUAAGAGGAAAUGGGCAGAGAAGCAUGCAGGUCUUCGUCAACAUGCCUGUUUCUCCCUGCCUACUUCAUCAGUUGCUCACUCCUUGAUUUUACUAUAUCAUCUUUAAUUAAUAGCUUAAGUCAUCGACAUACACUUAAAUUUGUCUUUAAAUUCACUUAAACCCCUCAACUAAGGGUUGUACCUAUUGAACACUUAUACUGUAUAAAAAAUUAUUCCUAUUAGGCACAUUUUGUUAAUUAGCAACAAAUAUGAAGUGUGUAUAACACUUGUCGUGUCAACUAAUUAAAAUGUGACACGUGUUAAUGGGCCCCACAAUAAUUAUCAAAAAAAAAAAUUCAAUUAAAUUAAAAAGGCAAAAUGACCUUCUGAAUCCUUGUACUAUAUCGGUUUUGUAAGUUGAUUACUUCUACUUAUAUAUUUGUCAUUUGAACCCACUAAAAAGCAACAUUUUAAAUCCUUUUUUGAUGAGUGUAACACAUUCUUCCCACGUGAGCUACCACGUCAGCUGCCACUUCUGCUCAUC